CCCAUUGCUGCCACCGUAGCUAGGCCAACAAUGAAGAGGCCACGCCAUAGCGCACACGAUGGGCAGGCGGUCAUUCAAGUGCAUAAUAUAUGACGUAUAGGCCCAUAGGGCAUUCCGCCAAUAUAAUACGCUGCAUCCGCAAGCACCGAAGCCACUCAUUAUCCCAGCUUGGAGAUUUAGUGAGUAAAGUCACAUAAUCAUCCAAGGGGCCACGAGCGCUACUAUGUAGCCACUCCCAUACCGCACUGCACGGAGGGAGAGGGAGAAAGGAGAUGAUACCGAGUCACAUUUCGUGACAAACUACGUAGGCAACACAGGCAAAGCAUGAGGCCCCAAUAACAUCAUUGGGUUAUAUAAUGAGGAGAUGCAGUAAGGAUGGUUAGGUACACAAGGCACAGAGCCCACCCUUACAAGCAAAUACUAUGCAACUUAUGCGCCGACCCGGUCAUUCUACCAUUUAUCACCCCAUCGCCCAUAUGCAUGUAUAUCAUAAAGAUAAUGCAAAUGGAUCAAAUGAAGCAGUCAACAGCUGAACUCCGCCGAGCACAACAAA
rnacentral:misc_RNA from 1 species